rnacentral:rRNA from 1 species
AAUGAACGCUGGCGGCAUGCCUUACACAUGCAAGUCGAACGGUAACGGGCCUUCGGGUGCCGACGAGUGGCGAACGGGUGAGUAAUGUAUCGGAACGUACCUUUCAGUGGGGGAUAACGUAGCGAAAGUUACGCUAAUACCGCAUAUUCUGUGAGCAGGAAAGCAGGGGAUCGCAAGACCUUGCGCUGAUUGAGCGGCCGAUAUCAGAUUAGCUAGUUGGUGAGGUAAAGGCUCACCAAGGCGACGAUCUGUAGCGGGUCUGAGAGGAUGAUCCGCCACAAUGGAACUGAGACACGGUCCAGACUCAUACGGGAGGCAGCAGUGGGGAAUUUUGGACAAUGGGGGCAACCCUGAUCCAGCCAUGCCGCGUGAGUGAAGAAGGCCUUCGGGUUGUAAAGCUCUUUCGGCCGGGAAGAAAUCGUAUCAGCUAAUACCUGGUGCGGAUGACGGUACCGGCAUAAGAAGCACCGGCUAACUACGUGCCAGCCGCCGCCGUAACAC